rnacentral:rRNA from 1 species
CCUACGGGGGGCAGCAGUGGGGAAUAUUGGACAAUGGGCGAAAGCCUGAUCCAGCCAUGCCGCGUGUGUGAAGAAGGCCUUCGGGUUGUAAAGCACUUUCAGUGGGGAAGAAAGCCUUGGGGCGAAUACCCUCGAGGAAGGACAUCACCCACAGAAGAAGCACCGGCUAACUCCGUGCCAGCAGCCGCGGUAAUACGGAGGGUGCGAGCGUUAAUCGGAAUUACUGGGCGUAAAGCGCGCGUAGGCGGUCUGAUAAGCCGGUUGUGAAAGCCCCGGGCUCAACCUGGGAACGGCAUCCGGAACUGUCAGGCUAGAGUGCAGGAGAGGAAGGUAGAAUUCCCGGUGUAGCGGUGAAAUGCGUAGAGAUCGGGAGGAAUACCAGUGGCGAAGGCGGCCUUCUGGACUGACACUGACGCUGAGGUGCGAAAGCGUGGGUAGCAAACAGGAUUAGAUACCCCUGUAGUC